GCAGUCGUGGCCGAGUGGUUAAGGCGAUGGUCACGAAAUCCAUUGUCAUUUCCCCGUAUAGGUUCGAAUACUACCGGCUUCG